AUAUUUUCACGUAGCUGACUAGCUGUAGCAGAGUGAACAAGAAGUAUAAUGCAAAUAAGCACGAGAAGGACAACUGAGUGGCAACUGAGAUACAGUUGUUCCUGCAAGUUCACUCUGGAUAUGAUUGAGAACGAGUGAACUUUCAUCAUGUACUUGUAAGCUAUAAAAAUGAAUUAUCCUUCAUCUAGGAGUUGCAUGGGCAUAGUCAUAUAAUCAAAAAGAUCAGAGGUAAGCCAUGUAUGAUUUUUGGAAAAGCAAUCUGCGGAAGGAAGUUGAUAUUAUGCUUGUGAAUCUAAACGAGGGAAGGAUCAACAGUUCUUAGUACUUGUAUAAUUGCUUUCCGUUAACAUGUCUGACACCUUGUUUUGCCUACUUGUGAAGAAGACCUGAAUUUAAGGUUCCGACUACAGAGUAUAAAGCAAGUCUAAUGAGUUCCAUCAGUAUGGAAACUGUUCAAAUGAUUUUAUAAUUAGGUUGCUCAAGUUUUUGCUUGGAUAAUAGUCAUAAGUGUCUGAUAUAUGAUGCUCAUAAGGAACCUGUUUUAUUAGUAGAAAUCAGCUUAACUUGCACGGUCCUGCUUCUACCUAUCUCUGUUUUUGGGCUUUCAUACUCAUUUUUUAACCAUAAUAAACCGGCUUUAUUGCCCUUGGGUUUUGUUUUUCCACUGGUCAUCCUUAUCAAGGAUGGUUCCUGGGGGUUUUUGAGACAUUGAUAUGGUGCAAGAUGUGUUGUCCACUUCUAUGUGAUUUGCCAUGUGGUUAGUCGAAGCAUUCUUUUCUGACUCCGUCGUUUGAACUUUUACUUGCAGCCUGGAAACUUUUCUGAAACAAUUUUAACACUUGAAAAGGGACAUUACAAGGCUGGAAGUAUGGUCGACUGUUCUGGUCAUUAGAUGCAGCUUGUUGCAGUUUUUAAAGAAUGGAUGCAGGAGUGUUGAUAUUAAUCGCUUGACUAUAUUGCAUGCUGAUCUUUCCCGGUGGAGCAGGGAACAACUUCAAAUAUUUUGAGUCAUUACUUACAGAUCAGGAAGCUCAAAAUUUCUGUUCCUCAUGUUUUUUCAUCUCAGAUUCUCAGUGCGCUGUUUUAUGCCCCUCUUGUAACAUUAGAGAUGUAAAAAUUUCUGUGCCUCAUGUUUUUUUCUUUUCCCUUUUUUUACCCUUCAAGUAACUUUGCUGGAAGUGAAGUACGAUUCCGAUUUGAUUAACAUUCUACUUGUGAAUAUUUCCUUGAUAUAUGAACACGUUACACGUCACUGGGAAAAUAUAGCGAAUAACAUUGCCCUGACCAAGGAGAAUCUUAUGUUUAUCAUUGACUGUCCAGGCUCUGAAUUUGAGAACUACAACUCUCCGUGCUCCUCAACACUAUCUAGCUUCAUUUGAGGAAAAAAGAAAAAACAAUACUUUGCUUUUAAGUCUGAGUAAGAAAAUCAAUUGUACAGGAUAUGAUGUUCUGUUGGUUGUGUUUCUGUUUUUGGUGGUCUUUUGUAUCCCUAAUCUAUCUUACCGAUUAGUUAGCUAAGAUGAUACUUGUCACCGAGGGCGGCAAGUGGGUCGGGCCCUAAACGAGACAAACGGGCCAAAUGGUUCCGGUCUUAACGUGCUUUUUGUAGGAACCAGUCCGGGACCGGGUUUACUAACUCAUGGUCCCGGAUUAAACGGGCCGGCCCCGCGGUCCAAACGGCCUAAAUGGGCCCAACGGUUAUGCAGUAAUUUUUUUCUAAUUAAAUACUAACUUAGAGACAAAAAGAUGUUAAAAAAACAUCUAAGGUAAUGCCUUGUAAUUUUAUUAUAGAAUUGUAACCUAAUUUUUUUAAUUCAAAUUUAAACACAAAAAUAUUGUAAAAUAACAUUCAAAGCAAUGCCUAGUAAUUUUAUUAUAACAAUAAAAAAUAUGAAAACAUCUUUCUUAGUCUUCCUCCCCCCUAUGGAAUGAGCACGACAAGGUGCUAAUACCACCAUUGAGAAGAAAAAGGAACUAAUCAAGAAGUACCAAAAAUACAAGUUACUACUAAUUUUUGUUCAUACAAGUUACAUGUUAUCUGUUACAAACUUCAUAAAUCCUUCAAGGUUCGGAGGAAGUUCUGUUGGUGGUGGCGGAAAAGUAGCUUGUUCAUCACCGCUUCCAUUCUCGGACGAAGUAGCAUCUUCAGCAAGUUCAGCUAGCAUUUCUUCAUAAGCUUCGUCUACCUCUGGUUGUGAUUCAGCAAGUCCAAAAUUUCUUCUUUCUGAACGGAUCCAAUUUCUAAAAAGUACUGAUUUUUCCAAGCUAUCCUUCAUAGACUGUCUAUGAUCACCGAUUUGAAGUCUUGCUUGACUGAAGCUCUCUGAUGCCAUUGUUGAAACUUGAAUAGUUAAAAUGUCUCGGGCCAUCCUUGAAAGAACCGGAAAGUGCAUUUCUUUGUCCUUCCACCAUUGUAAAAUAUCAAAUGUGCUGUCGGGAUUCACUUCCUCAAAUUAUUGCGACAAAAAAACUUCAAGCUCAUUUAGUUGUGAAAAAUCAUUACUACUAAAACUAAAAGAACCCCUAAUUCCCGCUCAAACACUAAGUCUUCUUACUCCCGCAGUUCUUUUAGAAGGUUGAGAAUCAGAAGAAGAAGGAGUUGGAACAUUUGGUCUAGCAUAAUUUAAUGCAACUUGAUAAGCAAUAUAAAUAGUUUCAGCAUUUGUUCUAAUUGAGGCUAUUGCUUCCGGAAGUUUAGGUUCCUCAUCAUCUUCAAGUGCUAAACCCUUAUAAACAGUCUCACACCAAAACUGAGGACCUCCUAAUUUCAUACAAGGAUUUAACAAAUUAGCAACACCACAAAUAGGGGGAAUAUGAAAAAAAUAUUUUUUAAAUUUUAUUCUCAUAAGAUCAAUAACAAGUUGAUAAAUUUUCUCAUCCUGUGAAAAAUGAGCAAACAAAUUUGCAAGUUCUGCGAUAUAAACCAAACAGUUAGAAAUAGUAGGAUAAUAUUGCCCCAAAAAUUCUUUUGUAGCAAUAUGAAAUUUUUCUAUAAAAUCAACAAGUAUUUUAACAUUAGCCUAAUCCCCAUUUGUAAAGUAAUCGUCAUCAUCACUUACAUGUGCAUUAAACGUUGAGCUUAUGAGAUUUUUAUAUUCAUAUGCAACGACCAAACUUUCAUACAUGUAAUUCCAUCUAGUUGGACAAGGUUUAGGAGCCUUUCUUUCUCUUAGGCCACAAUCAUCGCACAUUUUAAAAUACUCUCUAUGUCUACUUCUACGGUUAGAAUGAACCGGUAACAGUGUUAAUUUCCGGUUAGAAUUGAUUUGAAUCGGUACUAGGGUCAGUCUGACUAGGACUGGGUGCACUUUUCCCCUCGCCCAGAGCUUUCAUACGAAGAUAUUUGGCAUUAUUAUUAGGGUGUUUAUCUAUGUGUCUAGCCAAAGAUCCCGUCCCCAACUGCAUUGGUGCAUAUUUAAAAGCUAACUCUAGACCACAAGUUUGACACUUAGCUUUAUUUUUUUCAACUAGUUGAGUAAAAAAUAGCCAAAGAGGAGAUGUUUCUGUCCGUUUGAUACGUUCUUUAGAAAAGUAGGAGCAGUAACGAGAGUAUCAGUUGGGUCAUCAUUAGGAUCAGCAGCGUUAUCACUAGUUGGGUCAACAUCAGGAGCAUGACUAGUGGGUGUAUCAUCGUCCGGUUGAGUUUCAUCAAAAUCAAUUUCCUCAUCAUCAUUUUCAUUAAUAGUAUUAUAAUUAUUAGAAUAGAGAGCAUUCAUUAAUUCAUGGUUUUAAAAAUUCAUCGGGUGUAAUAUUAUGGCAAAAUUCAGUGUCGAUAAAUUGUAAUAAAAUAUUAUCGGUAUCAAAAAUAGCAGGUGUAGGACGGCUACGGGGUUUGGAUUGGGAAGCCGGGGGCAGGGAAGGAGGAACAACAUUACUACUAGAUUCGCCAGUCUUAGAUUUUUCCUUAUUCUUACUUUUACCAAAAAUAUUUCUUAAGGAAGACAUCUUAAUUAAUCAAGUAAUAGCAACUAAAUAAAACAAACAAAACUAUAAUAUUAAGACUUAAGAGUUGGAACGAGUUUACCAAAUUGACGAACAACUUGUUGAAAAUUGAUUAUCUUUGAAGACUUGCCGCCCUUAUCACCAACUUCACAAAUUCUAACAACCUCAAUAUUUUUUGGAAUAAAGUAAGUAAUAGUAGUAACCUCACAAUUUUUCACUAUUUUUUGUGAUAAAGUAAAUAAUUGUAGUAAGUAUUGAAAAAAAAAUAUAGAGAUUUUGAUAGACUAAUAUUGAUUUUGUAAGAAAAAUGAAUGAAUGAGAGGGUAUUUAUAGUAGAAAAUAGGGAAAAAAUAUAAUAAUNNNNNNNNNNNNNNNNNNNNNNNNNNNNNNNNNNNNNNNNNNNNNNNNNNNNNNNNNNNNNNNNNNNNNNNNNNNNNNNNNNNNNNNNNNNNNNNNNNNNNNNNNNNNNNNNNNNNNNNNNNNNNNNNNNNNNNNNNNNNNNNNNNNNNNNNNNNNNNNNNNNNNNNNNNNNNNNNNNNNNNNNNNNNNNNNNNNNNNNNNNNNNNNNNNNNNNNNNNNNNNNNNNNNNNNNNNNNNNNNNNNNNNNNNNNNNNNNNNNNNNNNNNNNNNNNNNNNNNNNNNNNNNNNNNNNNNNNNNNNNNNGGGGGGGUUAAAUAGCUAUUUUUUAAAUACCCAACGACUAUUUUUUUAAGACCCAACGACUACUUUUUUCAAAAGCCAAGCGGUUAUUUUUAUAAAAAAAAUCGUUGGGCCUGUUUGGCCCGCCAAGGGGCCGGUCCAGUCCGGUCCAAAUGAUUCCAAAGCUGAAAACUAGCCCAUGAGACCGGCACGAGCCCACCAAUCACGGGCCAAACGGUCCUAAUCGUUUAGCCCGUUAAGCCCAUUUAGCCUAGUCCGACCCGGACCAGUUGCCAACCUUACUUGUCACUUUCUGUCUUUAUGAGAAACCCAAGCCAAAAAGGUGGUAGCUCCGUGCCUAAACAAGUAUGGCUCUUGAGCCCAUAAGGGUUGGUAAGAUGGUUGGGUGAGUGAUUUUUCAUAUGGGAGACUUAGGAUCGUUUUUCCUCACCAGCAGCUUUCUCAAUUAGAGUUUAUCGCACCGCACUUGUCUAGUGCGAUUUAUAUUUCCUGUAUGGUUUGAGAGUAUUUCACAAUGAGUAGCGAAGGGUAGCGGCAACAAAAAAAGUAAUAUGACUAUUAGUUAGAAAUGUAUUUUUAUGUUAGAUCAAUGGAUCUUGUGUGUGCUUAUGUUAGAUUCGUUUGAAACCAAGGAUUUGUUGCAAUAUAUGUCUAUUAUUUUGAUUAUUAUUUCGGUCAGGCAUCUAUUUUCUAUAUAUUAGAUGAGUUGGAGUUUUGACGUGUGUGUUUAUUGUCUUUUUUAUAACGCUUGAGGGUAAUUUAGUCAUUUCACAUUAGUUCUUGCAAAUGCCAUGUACGUGUUGUCUACACAAAUCUACUGCAAGUAUGUUUCACUUUCAAUCAAUUUUGCCCAUAUCUUCCCUCUGGGUUUCUUUUAGGUUUUCGUCAUCAUUGCUACUUUUCGAACUUUAAUGAUUUUGCAUUUUUCUUUUCAAUCUUUUUCCCCCAAUGUAUUCUUUUGGCUAAUUAUGAAGUUCAGUGUGGCUGUUGCAGAUUCUCUUUGCCUGUUCUUUUCUCAUUUUUCUCGGAUUCUUUUUCACUUGUUUAAAUUUUUGCCUGUCUUAGUUUGGGUUCUCUUCAUGAUUUUUAAUUUUUCAAUCUAAUGACUGGUGUGUGUUAAAUCGGGUGGUAAAACUGUAUUUUUAAACUCUAAGCUUGCUGAGUUUUGGACUUCCGUGGGUUUCUGGGUUUUUCGCAUACUUCUUAAUUUUGCUAUUUUUGGCUGUUGUGUGCUAAAACGGAAUUUUAAUAUAAGCGCAUUCUUUUAGAAGUAUACACUUUAUUGGGAUAAUAAAGAAAUUAUUGUUCUAUGAUUCAACCGGUGGAUUUCGAUUUCUCUGAUUGAAUAUGAGGACCAGAAUGACAUUAACUACAUUUAGUAUAAAAGAGAAAGUAAGCUAAUAUAUUCAUUAUUAGGAGAAGAGUUAGACUCUGUCAAAGGCAUCAGAAUGAGUCAUAAUUGGCAACAAAGACAAGAACAAGUAGUAGAAGAACAAGAGGAAAAUAGAUAUCCACACGUGCAUAACCAGCAGAUUCAAAAUCAUCUUGUCCCCAUGUAUGCUCUCUGUGAGAGAUUGUCAUCAGUCUACCUUUGUUAGCUUCCUUUAAUAGGAGUACAAUAUCAUAUUAUAGAGAAGAACCGGAAGGUUUUACAUAGCAUCGAAACUUUCUAGAAAUUGUAUCCUAUGUAGAUUUAGAAGAUUGUGAUGGAGGGUUUCUGGAGAACAAAAUCUGUGGCUCACUAUCAUCACAUACCUUAUAAACAAUGCCAAAAUUAAUUGCUAGUAGAGAAACUAAAAGAGUUGGUGGAAGUGAUUGGCCUUGGUAACAAGGAUUGGGCUUUGUAAACAAGAAACAUAGAGAGCAACCUCUAGAUAAGUCUUUGUACUUAUUCUUUUUAAUCUGCUAAGGUAGUAAUUGAAGUAGACAAAGAGCUUCCUUUCAUUAAUUACUAAAAAAUAGAGCUAGCUCACCGAAAAUAAUUUUACAAGAAUAUAACUAUCAAUUUUUUAUUUUUUUUGCAAGAAUAUCUUUAGCAUAAGAAAGUGAAGCAUUCAUUAAAAUUUCAUUCACUGUAUGACGAGUUCAUUCAUUUGGACAACUUGUUAGACGUAUAGUCAUAAAUAUAAUUACCUAAUGCAAAGCAAACACACAAAUAUAAGUAUGUAAUAACAACAAUGCCUCAAUCUCAAGCAAGUUGGGUAAACUUAUGAAAAGACUCCUAACAAAUAUUGGACCUAGACUAAUUGUAAUAAAAGGAUCUAAGACGUAAUCUCAACUUACUACCACAUGUAUAGAUCUUUUCUUUAUAUUGUGCCCUAUUUUUUGCUAAGAUAACUCCUUAAACACAUAAAUAAAAGACAAAUCCAAAAAACUAUCCUUUUCAAUCUUCAAGAAAUUCAUAUGUAAACUAUGUUAGACCUUUAUUUGUCUUAACAUACUCAUACCGAACGGAUGUGAUAUUGGUUCACUUUGUGCAGAUUCUCCAAUAUAAAAGAAAAAUUUGCACAUAUUGUUGAUACAACCUUCUCUAAAAACUACAGACUUAUAUAAUAAGCAUUUUCAGAGAAUUCCAGAUGCAUUUGGAUAAUUUUCUUAGCCUAUUUUCUAUCAGCAGAGAUGUUAAUAUUCAGCAGGUGUGUGCUAUAGAGUUUUAUUCUUAAUCUGUAAAUGGUUCUUUUGAAAAGUUUCUUCUUUGUGAACACCGGACAUUCUUGAUAGAAUAUUAAAAACUUGUUUUCUUAUCGUGUAUAUUUUCCAAUAGAACGAAUGUUACUUUUUUCUCUCUCUUUUAAAUUAUUAAUUAUCUCCUGUCCUCUGUAUAUUUUUGGUUUAUAGGUUGUAACUAAUUCUGUCUAUUAAGUGUUCAUUCCAAAAGUUUUAGUAUUAUUUUCUGACUUUCACAUAGUCUGAAAUUUCCUAUUCAACCAAAAAUAAUUUGGACUAGCCUAGUAAUACUAGCAAAUUACAUGCAUAAAAUAAGAAUUUAGCCUAAGCUAUAUUCCUUCACCCAUAUCGGCAAGGAAAAAUCGCCUUCAAGUAACCAAAGGAUGUGGAGAUCUUCUCAUCCAAAAAUAGCUUAAUACUAGCAAAUUAUGUAAUGAUAUAAGCAUUUAGCCUGAGCUAUAUUCUUCUAUUCAACCCAAAGUUAUUGUUUCUAUAGACUCCAAGCCAAGUUUGGCGACAUAUAUACAACAGAUGAUUCCAUUAACCAUAGAACAGAUAAUUCUAUGGGGAACAAACAAGAUUAAUCAUUAGAAUAUCAGCAAAGCAAAACAAUUUUUGUCAUAAACAAGACUUGCAGUUCUAGCGAGCAAGUAGUUGCUUCUAGGCUAAACAUAUGUUGUAGGGCAAUUUAUUCUUGAGAUAUAUAACAAUUUGCGAGUUAUAGUAGGUUUCUUAAGACAUGUUCUGAUCAAAAGGAUCCACAGAAUUGUAGUCAAUAUGUUCUUGAAACUGAAUAGCUGCCAAGAAAAUCUCCUCUAACAUUUCUAGACUUACCAAUAACAGGAUAAUAAAGAUUGUAACUUAGCUACAUAUGUACAAAAUAUUUGAAACUUUAUUCUUAAAGGCACUUGUUUCAAUGACUAUAUUUCUAUUUAUUCAUAAACCUUAAUAACAUAAAGAAAAAACUUCCACAUGAGCAUUGCAAUAAUUUUAUUAAAGGCUACAAUAGAAUUUCAAUCUACUAACCUGUUAAAUGAUUCAAUCUAUUGCUCAAUUGAAGAUAGUGAUGAAGGCUGAUCAAAUACUGCACUUGCAAGCUGUGUGUAUUUACUGUCUAACACAUCAUAUUUACUCUUUAGUCCUCCAAACGUCCUUUUAGUGAUUCAUUUUCCUUUUUAGUAGCAUUCAACUUCUCUAAUAAUGCAGUUUUCGAGGAGUUGCCACCUUUCAACUCCUUAGCGGUUAUUCCACCACCAAAUCUAACUACAUGACUCUUGCGUUGAGGUCCAAAGCACCUCUCUACAACCUCAAUGUUUGUAAGAGAUGAUUAAGAUUGCACCACUUCUUGGAUUUUAGACUAUAAAUAAAAGGUAAUUUAAUUAAAAUACUGCAACACGGUAAACAAAUGAUGUAAAAUAAAAUUUAUCAAUAAACAUACAUAUUUUUCAUUGGUUUCAGGUUCAACAAGCUUACUGUCCUUCUUCAGAGUCUCAAAAAAGAUAGUUGCCACAUCUGGUGGAUUGCCAUCUUUACCUCCCUUCAUAUUAAAAUAAACAAGUCAAAGAAAUAUUUUUAACAGGGAUGAGAUUUCUUAACAGAAUUGCAAGAUUUACUCACCAAUUCAUAAAUGAUUUCUCUAUUUGGCUUACUACCCGUACGAUGAGGCAUACUCAACUCAGACCUAUUGACCGAGUUUUUUACACUUUUUUUCCUAAAUUGAGAACACACCAAAAAAUUAUGGUCAGCCACUUAAUAUAACAAGAUGUUAAUAAAUAGUUAUGAAAUCAUACCUUAAAUAUUUCUGAUAAAAAAUGCUCUUUGACAAGCCAUUCUCAAUUACUCUUGUCUACCCCAUUUGGCACAUCUUUUAGAGCAUCACGAAAUGGCUUAGACUUAAUAUUCUUGUGCAGUGAUCCUCUCCAAUUAUUCCAUAACUUUCUCAUAUGUUUCAAGACAUGAUCUCGUUAAUCAUUUAUGUCAUCACUAUCAAAUUUGUUCUAUAAUAUUCACAAGUAUCAGUAAACAUGGAACUUAUCCAGUAAACUAGAAAAUAAAAAUUUAACCACCUGUGUGUAUCAAAAGAGAUGAUAAAUAGCUUAUAAAGGUUAUUAUACAAGUUCUAAUUGAUAGAGAGGGCAAUAUAGUCAUUGAAAGUGGGAGAUUGGUUCUAUUGUGAAAACUUUAUCAUCCACAACAAGCCAUGACAGAUUCAAACCAUGAUGUGCUACACAUAUUGGUUCCCUAUAUUGAUCUGUCAAAAAGCUAUUACAAUAUAAAUAUGUUCAGUUCUUUAUUACUAUGUAAUAUCACCAAAGUUGGUCUAACUUUUAAUCUGUUAUUGUGCUAGCCCAAAAUCUUCACUCAAAGAUCAAGGGGAAAAUGGAGAAGAUUAAACACAUCAGCAAGAGGAGAAUGUCAAUCACUUUUUGGCAUUAGUUCCUGUAGAUUUGCCAAAGCCAAAGGAAAACAUUGAUCCCGUUGUUCUUGACACCACUGUGACAAAAGUUCUUGAUGCACUGAGGCAUGCUAAAGAGAACUUCAAACUCAAAUGGAGAGAAGAAGUAUGAUUAGAGUUGGCUAAUUUAUAUGACAAUUUAUUCAUGGCAUACUGGAUGCUUAUAGAACUAUAGAUAUUAUAUUAUGUUCAAGCAAACUGAAGAGUUCACUGUUGCCAUGUAAUAUUCUUGCAAUAAAGGACAUUAUUUGGUGAUAACCUUUCUAUCCUAAUUGAAAGGUCAAGGCUCUGUCCUACUGGUGAUCAUCAAAUCAAAUUUGGUUGGUAAGUAAAAAUUAUUUAUAACAACCAAGAAGCAUAGAGAUACUGAAAAAGAGAGAAAUAUGGAGGUUCACCUUGUAUUACAUAGACACAAAAAAGAUUGCCUUCAAACAAUCUGAGAUCUCAUCUGACACCAAAUUACCCAAAAAAAUCAUUUGGAAAGAACUUCCAAAACUCAAUUUUAUUUUUGUAAUUAACCAACCAUUCAAUGCAAUGAUGUAAACUCAUAAGUAUUUCCUUUUCAUUUGUAAAAGAAGAAAAGGAGAAGAAAAAUUUAUAAAGUAAUGCUUUAAAUCCUUACAGUAACAGUUUCCCACAUGUGUUGCAGCUUAUAUUCUUCGAUGUCCGCCCAUGAGUGUACACAGUGGACACAUAUUACGAUCACGAACCAAUAUACCCAAGUAUCUCGUAAAUGAGACAUGAUUCUUUCCAACAACCCGAUAGUGGUAAAAAGUAACGCUAAACUUUUCUCCAACUUUGAGUCCUGCAAUGUUUUUACACCUAUUCGUUCCUUUCACUUUUUUUGCCUUUUCAGAUUCACAUGGCCCUGCAAAAUUCAAUUUAAGUCAAAUAUAAAGGAGUUUUUGUACAAUAACAACAAAACAAUAUUAUAGCUUGAGACAGUAAGAUACUUAUUUUGCUUCUCUGAGUGUCUUGCAUCACUUCUUCCUCAUGAGGAAGGGGAGCAUCAUAUUCCAAUAUUGGUUCAAAAUCAGGAGGCGCAAAACUAUCACUAUAAGUUAGCUUACUCUGAUCAGAAGCUAAUACACUAAAAGUUUUACUUUUGCCAAUCGAACCUCUCUGUUCAGUAUUUACUCUUACAGAUCCCAAUGCUCUAAAACUUUGCCCUCGUCCCCUUGCUAAAAUACUGGGUGGAACAUACACAGGCUUCACAGGCUUGGAAUUUGAUUCCAUUUUAGACUUCUGAGAUUUUGAUGUAUUCAUGUCAACCUAGUACAAUUAAAAAACUGAGUAAUAGAUGUCUAUCAUGUCAGUUCAUCAUAUAUGAACAUAUGAUAGAAAAACUUAGAGAUAACAAAAAUUUAGGAAGUCAAAUUCAUCAUAUAAGAACAUGUAAUAAGUCUAGUAGAGUGUUAGAAAUAUUUUCUGAACUAGUAAAUCAAAUGGAAUCCAGUAUGAAACUUUCAUUAUCACAAUGAGUUGACAAAUUAAAUAAAGAGUUGAUAAAUAUCCAAACCUUCAUGAGUUCUUUUCCUUUUCAGUGAAGAAUUAUUUGAAUCCUCUAGAUCAUUAAUAUUUUCUUGUAGAAUAUCAAAAGUAUCACGAGGUUGAACCUUUCGUACAACAUACCAACCUUUAUUGGAAAGAUCGUCAACAUAAAAAACUUGUGAUGCUUGGUUGGCUAAUACAAAAGGCCCAGUUGUUUUCAGAAAAUACUGGCGGUUAACACUUACAAAACCAUAUUCAUCUAUAUUAACUCCCUUUUCUUGGUCAUAUACAUCAAACCACGUACAUUUAAAUAAAACUACUCUUUCUCCACCAAUAAAUUAUAAUUCUAGAAUAUCUGUUAGUUCUCCAUAGUAAUCAAUGGUCUUAUUAGCUUCAUCUGUCUCUCCAACUACAACCACUCCACAUUUCUGAGUUCUCAAACCUUUAUCAUAAUCUUGCACGUGAAACCUAUAUCCAUUAAUAAGGUAGUCACGAUGACUUGUCACAUAUGUCGUAGGACCACGUGACAACGAGAGUAAAUCUGCCAUUUUCUUACUAUCAUCACUUUUGUGCAAUCCUGCAAUCUAUCAAGAUCAAACAGAUAUUUUAGAAAAUAAUAUUUAUAUACUUGGUUUAAAAAAUAUUAAUGUUAGCUGGUACUCACCUUUUCUUUUAACCAACUAAUAAAUUACCUAUUCAAAUUUUCUUGAGAGGUAACAACUAGAGUUAGUGAAAACUCUCUACAAAUAAUUGGAGCAUAACUACAUGUCAUUUUAAAUGAAAAAAUAGAGGAUGGAUAUAAAAGUAAAUUAUUGAAACAAGUUAUUACUUACUCGAGAAAUGGUUGAAUUUCAUCACAAUUUUUCAAAAUAUAAAAAUGUGCUUGCUCUAGUUCUUUUGAACCAAGUUUGUGCGGUUUGCCACCUCUUAAAUCUCUUCCGGGUUGACAAAAAAUUAUUAAACGUCCAUCAGAUUCUAUAACACCACCAUCAUAAUUCCAUUCAAGGCGAUUAAAAUUUAUUUCCAUUGUAUGUAAAUACCUUGAACAUAAGGUCAUACAUUCAGUUUCUAAAUAUCCCUCUGCAAUAGAACCUUCUGCGCAAGCUCUAUUACGAAUAAAAGAUUUCAUAAAGUAUAUAUAUCGCUCCAUGGGAUACAUCCAUCGAUAUUGAGAAGGUCCAGCAAUCUUAGCUUCAUUAGAUAAAUGAAUUGGCAAGUGCUCCAUGACAAAAAAAAAA
rnacentral:lncRNA from 1 species